CUACGACCACAUCAACUUGAAAGACCGGUUCCCGUAUGAUCACCGAAGUUACGCAACGUCGAGUUUGGUAAGUACCGAGAUGGGUGACUGCUUCGCAAUAGCAGGUGAUGAAA